UGUUAAAGAUUAAUCAAAAAAUGCAUCUUUAAGAAUCUUAUUACACGGAAUCGCCUAACUAAUAUAUUUUUGUUACCUUGUAAAAGAUGGUGAUAAUAAUACGUUGAAUAUUAAUCAAUAUAUACCAUAGCUUCUUUAUAUAACAGCAUUUUUAUAACAAUUUUGAUUUAUAAUAAUUUUAUAAAAGAUCAAAGUGCGCAUGCGCAAGUUUGAUAUAAUAGUUGUGGAACGCUUCCGUUCGCGGCGCUGUAAUCGGUUUGUUUUGGUGUUUAAUUUAUUGAAAAAAAAAGUUAAUAUUUUUCGCGAAUUAACUUAAUUGGCAAUUUUUGGUACCUUAUUAUUACUAGUAAGUACUCAUAUUCAACCUUUUGUAACAUUUAUCAACCCACUUCGCAAUUAAUUAUUAUAGGUUAUUUAACAUUAAUUUUAGGUUAUUUGAUAUCAGUUAAUUCUUUAUUGAAUUCUGAUACAACUAUCUUGUUGAUAUGAAGAAGUGAUUGAAACAUACAUUUACAUGAUGAUGGAGUAAAGAAGGUUUUUAUUAAAGAGUUAUUAUUUAGAGGUCAAUCAAACCCGUGCCGUGUAAAGCCGCAGGACAGUCAUGGCAAAAGCGACGAAGAGGACAACGGCUGGCUGCAGGUACCGGGUGUUAGGGACCUGUGACCUUGGCCGGGGGUCCUUUACACUGCGCAGUCGCAUAUUUCCACGGCCAGUGACACCCGCCGCCGCCGACCGGCUUCUGCUCUGCGCCUUUUCGUCUCCACCUCCCUCUUUCUCUCUAGCUAGCUAGAACCCCUUUUCAAUGAUCAGGUUUGAUCUAUAAUAAAAAAAGAACUAGAGAAGGAAAAUAAACUCGUUCUAAACAGUUUCAUAAAAAAAUAUGUUUUACUUGUUAUAGGUUACCCCAAUGACUCAUUUCUUCAUUUUCCCAUGAGAUAUAUAUACUUUUUUAUGAGUAAUGUUUGCAACACAUACUUAUUACAUACUUUGGUUAUAAGUGAAUGGCGAGUAAGUGCCGGAUAAAACGGCUGCAGAGAAAUACUUUCGUUUUCUAUUGACAGUUACGUUACUACGUUACGAACGUUGUUGGUUACUAUGGUUACAUCGAGGCAAAAGUAUGUAGGUAAAACCGUAAGCAUACUUUCUCGAUUUUCACCAUUUUAACAUGAGCACAUUAGGUUAAGGCUGUCUCUAAAAACAUAAAUUAAAAAUAUAAGAUAAGAAAGUAUUGGUGUCUUAAAUUUUGUAAUAAUUGAAGACCAAGUUAGCUAAUUAGGACAUUUUUACAAGAUUACUUCGAAGAGUUUCUUGAUACUUUGAAUUAAUAUUUUCCAAAAUAGAGUCUAUGCGAUAUCUAAGUAGUCAUAUCUGAUUCACUCCUGAAGAUAGCGAAUUUAUAAUUUGCAUACAAAGACUGCAUAAUACUUGCCAUAUACUUGUUUGUAAGUAUUAACAUCUGUUAGAUUUUCUUUCUUAAUCUUUUUUUUUCUUUUACAGAUACUUUUAAUUCGCUAUGAUCGUAGUACACCCUGUAUCUUUUCCUCGAUGAAAUAAACUGUGAAUAGGGGAAGGUUUAAUUUAUUCGUGAGGGGAACGGCAUUAGCAACAAUGGACACGUGUGAUAGACUAGCGCGAGAAGCACAUCUGUCCAUUUCUAGAACAGCUGUACCCCGCGCACCAGGAACGGGUGCGUGUGUGGGGCGGCGCAUUUUAAUUGUAAUACUGCACCGCCGAAUUUACACACAUCACUGCACGCACACACACUCUCUCCCAACAAAAAAAAUCCACUCUGCACUUUUUUAUUCGUUUCAAUUCCGAUUAUAAUGCUUGAUUUUAUCAAAAACUGACCCGUUUCGUAAAUGCUGUGAGAGAAAUGACGUCAUUUAGAGAGAAUGCACUUAAUAAACACCGUAAAUUUAAGACUAAGUUGGGAGUAUAACGAACUUUGUAAUUUAACACUGUGUUUCCUGCAUCUUGUAAAUUCCUGCUUUGGAUUAUCUUUGUUUAUACCAGAAUUCCAUAAGAUCCCAUUGAGGGAAAAUAAAAUCAAGCGAUGUUGAUUAAAUUAAUUUGAUUACAAAAAAUUUUGCAAUUUAAAAUUAAACAAUUAGGCGACUCAAAAGUAAUAAGUAUAGGCAACCAAACUAACAUUUGUUGAUGAUCACAAGAAAAUUGAGAUGAGCGAGAAAGUGUCAAAAGUAAAUUCAGGCGCGUAUCGAUUUGUCUACAGACGCUCUACAAUCUUUCUAAGAAGAUUCUCUAGUCAAAGAGAUACCAGAUAAACUCGAGAGAUCCAAAUAAAGUGUUAUGGGAGAUUUUGGCGAAAACCUAAUAACACUGCCUUAAGGUAACCGUUCAAAAUAAAUGAAAUUAACUAAAUAAUUGCAUUCGAACCUCAACUUUUUAUUUCUCAACGAAAUUUGUAGGCAAAACAUCGAAUGUGCGACUAUGUACUAAUCAGCAAAACUUUCUGGCUAUACUCUAGCGAAAGUGUUUUAUCCCAUAUCUCGUGAAACAACAGAACUUGAAUUGCUUUGUGAUUGGGUCGAGUUCCAAAAAUAACAUAAAUUACAUAGAAUUGGGUUGAUCUGCUUUAGAGCUGAAUUAGGUUGCUUUGAAGUUUGUGACUUGUUUAGCAAUUAUUUUGUAAUUAGGUUGCUUUGGAAUUGCAUUAUUUAUUGGUUGUGAUGGCUAAGAUUGACGUACUUUGAAGUUGAGUUACUUUGGAGUUGCAUUGUUUUAGGGAUUUGCUUUGGAGUUGGAUUUCUCCUUGGUUGAGUUGUUUUAUGUUUUCCUUACUUUGCACUUAGCUUGUUCUUGAGUCGCUUUGGGAUUAAACUACUUUGAUUAUUGGUAAAGCUGCUUUGAGGUUGGCUUAUCAUCUUGUAUCAUGUUGGUCUAGAUUCUACUCCGACGUGAGAAAAUAUCUACAUCGUAUUUUCCCAGAUGUGAUCUCCAAGCUGAUAGUAAUAGAUUUUAACAGAUGGCGCCAACCAGAGACAAAGGUCAGUUUUGUUUGUUAGGUAUCGUUUAUGUAUGAGAAGUGUAUGAAGUAAGAUCCCUUACAUGCCAGCUGUCGCCCGGCUAAACUAAACAAAACAAAAAUAUAACCUAAAAUUAAAAAAAAAAUCUUUUUAGGUAUAAACAAUGGAUAAAGAUUCAGCCAAAGCAAGUGGCAGUCGGUCGGAAGCGACUGACAGUAGCCGCAAGGCAAAGAAAAGCGAUGAAAACCAGAUGGGUUCGAGGUGCCGAAAAUGCACCGGAAAAAGAAAUCGACGGCAGAAAAACAUAGACGGAGGAUUGCCGCGCUGAAAGAAACUUUGGCCAAAGGGCUUGCCACGACCAGUGAAGGGCAUCCUCUGCCUCAAUAAAAAAAUAUGAGGGGAGGGCUCCGGCCAGUUCUAAAGGGCAGGCUGGAUCUUCCUUGACUUUAAGGAAAAGCAGACUGCAGACCUCAAAAGGGCAAGCGGCUGCCAAUGAAAAAAAAAACAUGCCGAAAAAAGACCAAGGUCUCCACGGUCACUCCCAGGGAAAAGAAAAAGUCGAAGAAAGUAGAUUACAAAGGAUCCUCCACGAGGCACCUGAAGGUGGCCAUUAUCGACAGGUCCAACCUCAACCUGCUCGGCAAACUCGAUGCUGAAAUGGUAGGACUAGUAGGGCUGAACUAAGUACUAUUUUUGAGAUUGUCGCGAUGUUUGAUGUCUGCCCAAUAUAAUUCCAGACUUCUUUAUGAUUUCUAAAGCCAGACCAGUACAAUUUUAGCGUUUUCUUGUUGGCUGGAGUAUGGCUAAUUUAAUUCUAGAAAAUUUCAUGAUGUUCUAGACUGCCCAGUAUAAUUAAAGACUUCUCUAUGAUGUCUGACAACUCACCUAUACAAUUUUAGAGUUUUUAGCGAUGUCUGAUGUAUGCCCAAUAUAAUUCCAGACUUCUUUAUGAUCUUUAAAGUUUCACCAGUACAAUUUUAGCGGUUUCUUGUUGUCUGGGGUGUGGCUAAUUUAAUUCUAGAACAUUUCAUGAUGUUCUAGACUCUGCCCAGUAUAAUUUCAGACUUCUUUAUGAUUUCUAAAGUCUGACUAGUGCAAUAUUCGAUUUUUCUCAUUGUCUGCAGUCCAGCCAAUUUAAUUCCAGACAAUCUCUUGGUAUUCUAGACUGUUACCAGUACAAUUAAAGACUUCUUUAUGUCUGACGUCUCAUCUGUACAAUUUUAGAGUUUUUCGCGAUGUCUGAUGUCUGCCCAAUAUAAUUCCAGACUUCUUUAUGAUCUCUAAUGCUUGACCAGUACAAUUUUAGCGUUUUCUUGUUGUCUAGAGUAUGGCCAAUUUAAUUCUAUAAAAUCUGAUGAUGUUCUAAACUCUGCCCAGUAUAAUUCUAGACUUCUUUAUGAUGUCUAAAGUCUGAAUAGUACAAUAUUAGAGUUUUCUCGCUGUUUGAGGACUGCCAUAACAAUCUUUGUGAGGCAGCCGGUAGCAAUGAGAUUACGAUCUGCUGGACAAAGGGUCAUUCGGGAAAUAAGCUUCAUGACAUGGUGGACAAACUGGCAAGGAAAGCAGCAGGCGAACCUCCGGGAAUUUUUCAUUGCCCCAACAAUAAGGUCUUUAAUAGAGCUUCAAAAAGAGGAAACACAUUUAUUUUAGAGGCUGUCCAGGAAGAACCUACGUUUGGUCGUAGGUCUAAUCACUGGACACUGGCAUCUACAGAAGCACUUACUAAACAUGGGAAUAAGUGCCACCGACAUCUGCAGAGGAUGCGGUGAGGAGGAGGAAUCAGCGGAACACAUUUUAUGCGACUGCGUGGCCCUCCAAACAUUAAGGUUAUCCAUUUUUGGAGAUAUCUAGAUUUGCAUGAGUGGAAUCAGGGCAGCACAACCAAGACAAAUUCUAGCCUUUGUCUCCAAGGUAAUAUGGCUGGAAGGACCCUAAUGCUGACCAAAUGAGGGAAGUAAGUACAAAGUAAGUACAGGACAUAUUAAU